UGGCUAACUCCUACGGGAGGCAGCAGUGGGGAAUUUUGGACAAUGGGGGCAACCCUGAUCCAGCGACGCCGCGUGAACGAAGAAGGUAUUCGUAUCGUAAAGUUCUGUCCUAUGGGAAGAUAAUGACGGUACCAUGGAAGAAAGCUCCGGCUAAAUACGUGCCAGCAGCCGCGGUAAUACGUAUGGAGCGAGCGUUGUCCGGAAUUAUUGGGCGUAAAGGGUACGCAGGCGGUUUAAUAAGUCGAAUGUUAAAGAUCGGGGCUCAACCCCGUAAAGCAUUGGAAACUGAUAAACUUGAGUAGUGGAGAGGAAAGUGGAAUUCCUAGUGUAGUGGUGAAAUACGUAGAUAUUAGGAGGAAUACCAGUAGCGAAGGCGACUUUCUGGACACAAACUGACGCUGAGGUACGAAAGCGUGGGGAGCAAACAGGAUUAGAAACCCGGGUAGUCCAGCUGG
rnacentral:rRNA from 1 species